rnacentral:rRNA from 1 species
GAGUUUGAUCGUGGCUCAGAUUGAACGCUGGCGGCAUGCCUUACACAUGCAAGUCGAACGGCAGCACGGGAGCUUGCUCCUGGUGGCGAGUGGCGAACGGGUGAGUAAUGCAUCGGAACGUAUCCUGGAGUGGGGGAUAACGUAGCGAAGUUACGCUAAUACCGCAUAUUCUGUGAGCAGGAAAGCGGGGGACCUUCGGGCCUCGCGCUCUUGGAGCGGCCGAUGUCGGAUUAGCUAGUUGGUGAGGUAAAGGACUCACCAAGGCGACGAUCCGUAGCAGGUCUGAGAGGAUGAUCUGCCACACUGGAACUGAGACACGGUCCAGACUCCCUACGGGAGGCAGCAGUGGGGAAUUUUGGACAAUGGGGGCGAACCCUGAUCCAGCCAUGCCGCGUGAGUGAAGAAGGGCCUCGGUUGUAAGUACGU